rnacentral:rRNA from 1 species
GUCCACGCCGUAAACGGUGGGCGCUAGGUGUGGGUUCCUUCCACGGGAUCCGUGCCGUAGCUAACGCAUUAAGCGCCCCGCCUGGGGAGUACGGCCGCAAGGCUAAAACUCAAAGGAAUUGACGGGGGCCCGCACAAGCGGCGGAGCAUGUGGAUUAAUUCGAUGCAACGCGAAGAACCUUACCUGGGUUUGACAUACACCAGACGCAUCCAGAGAUGGGUGUUCCCUUGUGGUUGGUGUACAGGUGGUGCAUGGCUGUCGU